UUCGAAUUUGAAAAUAACCGGGAACCGUUACUGCGACUAACGGCAGCCAGGUGGCAGUGGUGAGCUGCAGGUGUGUCGCACCUGUCCGAGGGAGGCAGUCGCGGCAGGGUGCACGAGUGCGGCCAGAGAGGAUCCCAGGGUCGCUCCGUCUGCGUGCUGCAGUCCAUCGUCCUGUUGUACUGCAGGCUCCGCCCCCGGCCCUCAAUCUGAAGCGUGAUUGGCUGCUCGUAGCUGGCCAGGAUACGGAAGGCCUCUCGCUUCUGCAGGUGGAGUUUGAUGUCAUGAUGGGGGUUAAACCUGUUGAGCUUCCUGGUGGUUUUCUUGCCGUGUGAUUGGCUGGCGGUCGUAUCUGGGCAGAUCUGAGUUUCUCUGAAGUGAACGUGUUCCCGAGCGUCUGGCCGCGAGGAUCAGAGAGAACAUCUCCACGGAGCCGAAGACCCCAGAAACACACAGCGUCUGAGUGCUGAUGUCACUUCCUGGAAGAGGUGUGAGG